rnacentral:rRNA from 1 species
AGAGUUUGCUUUUGGCUCAGGAUGAACGCUGGCGGCGUGCUUAACACAUGCAAGUCGAGCGAAGCGAUUUGACGGAAGUUUUCGGAUGGAAGUCAGAUUGACUGAGCGGCGGACGGGUGAGUAACGCGUGGGUAACCUGCCUCAUACAGGGGGAUAACAGUUAGAAAUGACUGCUAAUACCGCAUAAGCGCACAGUAUCGCAUGGUACGGUGUGAAAAACUCCGGUGGUAUGAGAUGGACCCGCGUCUGAUUAGCUAGUUGGUGGGGUAACGGCCUACCAAGGCGACGAUCAGUAGCCGACCUGAGAGGGUGACCGGCCACAUUGGGACUGAGACACGGCCCAAACUCCUACGGGAGGCAGCAGUGGGGAAUAUUGCACAAUGGGGGAAACCCUGAUGCAGCAACGCCGCGUGAGUGAAGAAGUAUUUCGGUAUGUAAAGCUCUAUCAGCAGGAAAGAAAAUGACGGUACCUGACUAAGAAGCCCCGGCUAACUACGUGCCAGCAGCCGCGGUAAUACGUAGGGGGCAAGCGUUAUCCGGAUUUACUGGGUGUAAAGGGAGCGUAGACGGCGAGACAAGUCUGAAGUGAAAGCCCGGGGCUCAACCCCGCGGACUGCUUUGGAAACUGCCUUGCUGGAGUGUCGGAGAGGUAAGUGGAAUUCCUAGUGUAGCGGUGAAAUGCGUAGAUAUUAGGAGGAACACCAGUGGCGAAGGCGGCUUACUGGACGAUAACUGACGUUGAGGCUCGAAAGCGUGGGGAGCAAACAGGAUUAGAUACCCUGGUAGUCCACGCCGUAAACGAU